ACGGUACCUGCAGAAGAAGCCCCGGCUAACUACGUGCCAGCAGCCGCGGUAACACGUAGGGGGCAAGCGUUGUCCGGAUUUAUUGGGCGUAAAGAGCUCGUAGGUGGCUAAGUAAGUCGGGUGUCAAAUCCCCAGGCUCAACCUGGGUCUCCACUCGAUACUGCUUUGGCUAGAGUCCGGUAGGGGAGCGUGGAAUUCCUGGUGUAGCGGUGAAAUGCGCAGAUAUCAGGAGGAACACCAGCGGCGAAGGCGGCGCUCUGGGCCGGUACUGACACUGAGGAGCGAAAGCGUGGGUAGCAAACAGGAUUAGAUACCCUGGUAGUCCACGCCGUAAACGUUGGGCACUAGGUGUGGGGUCUAUUCAACGGACUCCGUGCCGUCGCUAACGCAUUAAGUGCCCCGCCUGGGGAGUACGGCCGCAAGGCUAAAACUCAAAGGAAUUGACGGGGGCCCGCACAAGCAGCGGAGCAUGUUGCUUAAUUCGAGGCAACGCGAAGAACCUUACCUGGGUUUGACAUGUAGAGAAAAGCCACAGAGAUGUGGUGUCCUUCGGG
rnacentral:rRNA from 1 species